GUGCAAAGCUCGGAGUGCGGAAGGGUCCCCGAAACCAGGACUCCACUUCGGGCUCGGUGUGAGCAGCGUCGCCCGGGCAUCCUGUCAAGACCCAUCCCGACUCCGGGUGAGGCGGCCCCGCUUCCAGCCAAGCGCCGACACCCCUCCCGGCCGGCCGAGUGAGGGGCCGCUCGCCCGGGAGAAGGCUUGGCGCUUGGGGGACGAUCCCCCAAAGCCGGCGCGGGGAUACCCCCAGGCCUGGCAGGGCCAGGGGCACCGGCGCCUCGCUCACCUGUGUCCGUGGGGAGGCGGCUGCCUGUCAAACUACACAUUUCCCAGGCUCCCUUGCAGCUAUGGCAACCACAUGCACAGUCCUGAUCAAUGAGAGGGCAGCAGAGGUGGGGCAUCCAGAGGGCUCUUAAAACAGGGCAGCCCCUGGCCCGGGAGUGGUGGCUCACACCCAUAAUCCCAGCACUUUGGGAGACCAAGGCCAGCGGAUCACCAGGUCAGGAGUUUGAGACCAGCCUGCCCAAUAUGGCAAAACCCCGUCUCUACUAAAAAUACAAAAAUUAGCCAGGUGUGGUGGUAGGCACCUGUAAUCCCAGCUACUCAGGAGGUUGAGGAAGGAGAAUCACUUGAACCUGGGAGGCAGAGGCUGCAAUGAGCCGAGAUCGUGCCACUGCACUCCAGCCUGGGUGACAAGAGCAAGACUCCAUCUCAAAAAACAAAACAAAACAAGAACGGGGCAGCCCCGGCCCUUCCCCAUCCCUCCUCUUCUUGACUCAGUAAGGCUGUGGUGGUCAGCUUGGGAUCAUAAGGUGGCCAUGAAGAAAAGUCCUGGAAACCUCAGAUCCAACUCCCUUGAGCUGCCAAAGCAAUUCUCACCACGUGGGAGAAAUUCAGCUCUCAGACUGUCCUCCAAUUUCCCACCUGUGGUCAAUGGCAGGCACCCCUUCUGCCAAGAAGCUACCAUGACCACCACAUUCAAGUUAAACCUGGACCUCCCACCAUCCCCAGUCAGGCCAAUGAGACAGUGGGGAAACAGGCCUGGUAAGGAUACUUCCUGCUAGUUUUCUUGCCUUCUCAGCCUAGGGUGUGGGUGUGGCUGGGACUGGCUGUGAGGCUCCUAUUUAUAAGGCAAGCACCCAUUUUCUCAUGGAUUCUACCAUUUUAUAUCCCGUGGAGCCAGUCAAGAUGGCUGCUCUAUUUUCAGUUAGUUUUUUGGGGGCAAUGGAUGGGCAGGGGAUUGACCUGACAGAGACCCACUCCCUCAUUCCUUCAUUACUCAUCGGCUCUGCUGGCCAGGGAUGUGGGGUUCUCCACCUGCUCAAAGUCAAAAAGCUUUCUCCAGGUUUUUUAACAGCUUGUACUUUAUUACAUAUGCAACCUUGCCAUGCCUGCCAGUUAACUCCCCUCCCGC
rnacentral:lncRNA from 1 species